UACGUGGGGUGCGAGCGUUAUCCGGAUUUACUGGGCGUAAAGCGUACCGUCGGUGACUUGAUAAGUUGCUUGUCUAAGCCUGGGGCUCAACUCCAGAUCGGCAGGCAAAACUAUCAGGAUUGAGUCUGUUCGGGGAACUUGGAAUUCUCGGUGGAGGGGUGAAAUCCGUAGAUAUCGAGAGGAACGCCAAGCGCGAAGGCAGAGUUCUAGGACACGACUGACACUCAGGGACGAAAGCUCGGGGAGCAAAAGGG
rnacentral:rRNA from 1 species